GACGCUGGCGGCGUGCUUAACACAUGCAAGUCGAGCGGAAAGGCCCUUUCGGGGGUACUCGAGCGGCGAACGGGUGAGUAACACGUGAGUAAUCUGCCCUUGGCUUUGGGAUAACUACCGGAAACGGUGGCUAAUACCGGAUAUGACCAUGCUCGGCAUCGGGUGUGGUGGAAAGUUUUUUCGGCCAGGGAUGUGCUCGCGGCCUAUCAGCUUGUUGGUGGGGUAAUGGCCUACCAAGGCUUCGACGGGUAGCCGGCCUGAGAGGGUGACCGGCCACACUGGGACUGAGACACGGCCCAGACUCCUACGGGAGGCAGCAGUGGGGAAUAUUGGACAAUGGGCGGAAGCCUGAUCCAGCAACGCCGCGUGAGGGAUGACGGCCUUCGGGUUGUAAACCUCUUUCAGUACCGACGAAGCGCCGAUGAUGGUGGUGACGGUAGGUACAGAAGAAGCACCGGCCAACUACGUG
rnacentral:rRNA from 1 species